rnacentral:rRNA from 1 species
UGAGGAAUUUUGCGCAAUGGGGGAAACCCUGACGCAGCAACGCCGCGUGAGUGAUGAAGGCUUUAGGGUCGUAAAGCUCUGUCAAGUGGGAAGAACUUAUUCGAAAAUAAUACGUUCGAAUACUGACGGUACCACUGAAGGAAGCACCGGCUAACUCCGUGCCAGCAGCCGCGGUAAUACGGGGGGUGCAAGCGUUAUUCGGAAUCAUUGGGCGUAAAGGGCACGCAGGCGGCUUGGUAAGUCAGAUGUGAAAGCCCGGGGCUUAACCCCGGAAGUGCAUUUGAUACUAUCAGGCUUGAGUAUGGGAGAGGGAAGUGGAAUUCCUGGUGUAGAGGUGAAAUUCGUAGAUAUCAGGAGGAACACCGGUGGCGAAGGCGACUUCCUGGACCAAUACUGACGCUGAGGUGCGAAGGCGUGGGGAGCAAACAGGAUUAGAUACCCUGGUAGUCCACGCAGUAAACGUUGAUCACUAGGUGUAGCGGGUAUUGACCCCUGCUGUGCCGGAGUUAACGCAUUAAGUGAUCCGCCUGGGGAGUACGAUCGCAAGAUUA